GAGGCAGGGGGGUUAACAUCCGGCAGCGCGUUGCGCCCCCGGGUGCGUUUGUG
rfam:Hyphomicrobium sp. MC1 chromosome, complete genome.